AUUGAACGCUGGCGGCAUGCCUAACACGUGCAAGUCGAACGGAAACGAUGGAAGCUUGCUUCCAGGCGUCGAGUGGCGGACGGGUGAGUAAUACUUAGGAAUCUACCCAGUAGCGGGGGACAACUCGGGGAAACUCGAGCUAAUACCGCAUACGCCCUACGGGGGAAAGCAGGGGAUCUUCGGACCUUGCACUAUUGGAUGAGCCUAAGUCGGAUUAGCUUGUUGGUGAGGUAAAGGCUCACCAAGGCGACGAUCCGUAGCUGGUCUGAGAGGACGAUCAGCCACACUGGGACUGAGACACGGCCCAGACUCCUACGGGAGGCAGCAGUGGGGAAUAUUGGACAAUGGGGGCAACCCUGAUCCAGCAAUGCCGCGUGUGUGAAGAAGGCCUGCGGGUUGUAAAGCACUUUCAGUAGAGAAGAAAAGCCUGGGGAUAAUACCUCCGGGUCUUGACGUUACCUACAGAAGAAGCUCCGGCUAACUCCGUGCCAGCAGCCGCGGUAAUACGGAGGGAGCGAGCGUUAAUCGGAAUUACUGGGCGUAAAGCGCACGUAGGUGGCUUUGUAAGUCGGAUGUGAAAGCCCUGGGCUUAACCUGGGAAUGGCAUUCGAUACUGCAU
rnacentral:rRNA from 1 species